CCUACGGGAGGCAGCAGUAGGGAAUCUUCCACAAUGGGCGCAAGCCUGAUGGAGCAACGCCGCGUGGGUGAUGAAGGUCCUCGGAUCGUAAAACCCUGUUGUUAGAGAAGUAAGUGCGUGCGAGUAACUGUUUACGUUUCGACGGUAUCUAUACAGAAAGCCUCGGCUAACUCCGUGCCAGCAGCCGCGGUAAUACGUAGGUGGCAAGCGUUAUCCGGUUUUAUUGGGCGUAAAGGGAACGCAGAUGGGUUUUUAAGUCUGAUGUGAAAGCCUGCGGCUUAACCGUAGAAGUGCAUUGGAUACUGGGAGACUUGAGUGCAGAAGAGGAAGGUGGAACUCGAGGUGUAGCGGUGAAAUGCUUAGAUAUAUGGAAGAACACCAGUGGCGAAGGCAGCUCUCUGAUCUGUAACUGACACUGAGGUUCGAAAGCGUGGGUAGCAAACAGGAUUAGAUACCCGAGUAGUC
rnacentral:rRNA from 1 species